rnacentral:rRNA from 1 species
AGCAGCCGCGGUAAUUCCAGCUCCAAUAGCGUAUAUUAAAGUUGUUGCAGUUAAAAAGCUCAAUGUGUUGGUCGUGCCUUGGUACGUACUAGUUUAUUGAUUUCUUCCUUCUGAUGAAUCAUGAUGUCAUUAAUUUGGUGUCAUGGAGAAUCAGGACUGUUACUUUGAAAAAAUUAGAGUGUUUAAAGCAGGCUCACGCUUGAAUACAUUAGCAUGGAAUAAUGAAAUAGGACGUUUGAUUCUAUUUUGUUGGUUUCUAUGAUUGACGUAAUGAUUAAUAGGGAUAGUUGGGGGCAUUAGUAUUCAAUUGUUAGAGGUGAAAUUCUUGGAUUUAUUGAAGACUAACUACUGCGAAAGCAUUUGCCAAGGAUGUUUUCAUUAAUCAAGAACGAAAGUUAGGGGAUCGAAGACGAUCAGAUACCGUCGUAGUCUUAACCAUAAACUAUGCCGACUAGGGAUUGGAUGAUGUUAAUUUUUUAAUGUACUCAUUCGGCGCCUUACGGGAAACCGU